rnacentral:rRNA from 1 species
ACUUAAGCAUAUCAAUAAGGCGGAGGAA